AAUAAGCAAAAUAAAAGUAUAAAAAAUUAUAUUUUUUAUUUUUUGAUAAAAAUAUAUAAAAUAUAUUAUAAUUGACUCAUUAUGAUGGCUAGAGCUAAUAUACUAUUAUAAGCAUAAGAUCCCUUUAUACUCAUAAAUUUCCGGCUGUUGGAUGAAUUGACGUGCGGUUACGAUGAUAGUAAUAUCAUGAAGUUAAGUGGAUGGUUAGUUAAAUAGUAUGAUUUAACAGGUGAAAAUAUUCAAAGAGAUAGAUUUAACGAUUGAAAACUUAUUAGUAAAAAGAGGUCUAUAUAUACUGAUAAGAGUAUAGUAAACGGACUCCAUUAUGAUAUUCAAAACUCAAUAUUAUAUACAAAAAAUAAAUAUAAUAUUUUUUCAUUAUACUUUUUUUUCGUUUCUAUAAGUAAGACAUUUUUUCUCAAUCUUAAAAAAAAAUAAAAAAAUAAA
rnacentral:lncRNA from 1 species